CUAAAAACCUAGCUUAACCCAUUCUUAUGAAUACACCUCCUAACAAAAACUGAAUAAAACAUUUUGUAUAUUAAGUAAAGGCGAUUAAAAAAUAUUUCAAAGCUAUAGAAACCAGUACCGCAAGGGAAAAGUGAAAUAUUAGUGAAAAAUCUUAAGCACAAAAAAGUAGAGUUAUAGCCUCGUACCUUUUGCAUCAUGGUCUAACUAGUUCAACCAAGCAAAAUGAAUUUUAAGUCUGACUUCCCGAAAUUAGGUGAGCUACUUAAAGACAGCCUUCCGGGCCAACCCGUCUCUGUUGCAAAAGAGUGGGAAGAUCUUUAAGUAGAGGUGACAGACCUACCGAACCUAAAGAUAGCUGGUUAUUCAGGAAAAGGAUCUAAGUCCUACCUUAAGUUUAUUGUACAAGAAUAAUACACUACUAACUUUAAGAGCUAUUCAAAUAAGGUACAGCCUAUUUGAACCAGGAUACAACCUCCACAAUCGGGUAACAUCUUUUUUUAUC
rnacentral:rRNA from 1 species